ACUCAAAUGAAUUGACGGGGACCCGCACAAGCGGUGGAUCAUGUGGUUUAAUUCGAAGGUACGCGAAGAACCUUACCAAGGCUUGACAUCCCAAGAAGGCCCUAGAAAUAGGGCUGUGCCUUCGGGAACUUGGUGACAGGUGUUGCAUGGCCGUUGUCAGCUCGUGUCGUGAGAUGUAGGGUUAAGUCCCGUAACGAGCGCAACCCUUAUUGUCUGUUGGAUUUUCAGGCGAGACUGCCCCGGUUAACGGGGAGGAAGGUGGGGACGACUUCAGGUCAUCAUGGCCCUUACGCCUUGGGCUACACACGUGAUACAAUGGCCGGUACAACGGGUUGCGAACCCGCGAGGGGGAGCUAAUCCCAUCAAAACCGGUCUCAGUUCGGAUUGCAGGCUGCAACUCGCCUGCAUGAAGUUGGAAUCGCUAGUAACCGUAGGUCAGCACACUACGGUGAAUACGUUCUCGGGUCUUGUACACACCGCCCGU
rnacentral:rRNA from 1 species